rnacentral:piRNA from 1 species
UACCUUUGUGAAGUAGAUGUCAUUGCC